rnacentral:lncRNA from 1 species
AUAUACCCCAAGACUAGAGUCUGGUAUUUUGUUCAGUUUGCCGAAUCCUAGAGACAGCCUCAGAUUUUAGAAGAAUAAACAGACUGUCUACAAAAUGUGAAAAACUCUUUGCUGGAUGAGAAAAGAAGCAGAGGCCCCACAGAGAAUGUCCAAGCUGGAGGUUUCAAUCAAAUCCCUUCCCUCAGAAUCUGGGAAUCCUGUGGAAGAGGAAGAAGAAAAACUCUGAGAACCAAGAGGGAUGAAAAACAUUAGGACAAUAAGACUCUCUGAAUCAACUAAGCAAUAUGCAAACGAGCAGCCUCAAGUCUCCAGAGAUCUCAUCCUGAUGCUAUUUACAAACAACUCCCCAGUAACCAGUUUUUCGAUCAGUAAGAACCCAUUCUUAUGGUAAAGAUCACAAGCGCGUGCAAAGGAGUUUCUAUGUGG